UGGGAUAAGUUUAUUUUUUUAAUAAAGACACCCAAAGGGAAUAUUAGAUCUGAUUAAUAUCGAGAAAAACAAAGGCUAGUACAAUGGAUAGACAAUUAGACGUAGAGCGACCAUUACAAAAUAAAAUGAUAUUAAAAAACAUACUAGUCUUCUUCCUUUGAUUGUACGUCGCUGCCGAAUCUUGAAAAACACACUGAACCAACAACAAUGAAAAAGCCACCUGCAAAUACCCUCGCCUUACAAGGCUUUGAAGACCGCAAUCACCACUUGCCCCUAGAGACGAGAUCUAAAAGACUUUGAAGCAUCAUCGACUGGAGCAACACCCCAAGCAGAACAGGCUUGCAAUCCGCCACCACCAGUUCAGAGGGUUGGAAAAAACAGGUUAACCCACAGAACAACAGAGAAGAAGAUGUCGAAAUCGCCACACCAACUGCCAGCCAAAAGCUCUCCUCAAAAGACACACGAACUGCCAAGAUCUGAACGAAACCAACUGAUCUGGGGACACCAACUCUCACUGUCCCUUCACCGAAGCCAUAUCGAAUGUCGUCAAGGUACGGAGAGACCGGAGAGACCGUAUUCCAAAACGCCAUCGUCGCCACCACCUCACCGUGAUGUUGCUGGAGAAAGCAAAAAACCUACAAAGCAAAUAAGAUGGGCGGGUCCCCACUCCUCUUGCCGCCGACAAGGUCGCCGGACAGGGGAGAGGAGGGGGACCGAGGCGAAGGCCGGAGAAGUGGCGGCUGCGGCUUAGGGUUAGGACGACUCGUGCGCGUCGGGAUAACUCGUUUUAGGAGUGCUACUUGGCUUUGGGUUCGCCCGUUUGGAUUAAGU
rnacentral:lncRNA from 1 species